UUUCUUCUUCACAGACAUUCUAGAUGUCACAGUGAGGAGUACAAAGUACUCACAUAAUUCUCUGUAGACAUCAAAUAAGUGUGGGCCUUGGCCCAGGCUCCCAACCAUUUCCUGCAAAUUCCCCAUUUACAAGUAAGUGAUGAAGGUGUCCCUCAGCAUUCCAGGCCCCUCCUUGAUUUCAAGGUACUCAGGUCAGACAGGAUGGAGACCCUGCCUUCAGGAGACCUCUGGUAUGGGUGAUGUUAAAAAGGUUCCAAAACUGUAAGCAUAGAAGGAGUGAUUCUGCCUAGGUUUUUUUACUUGUUGAUGCCCUGCCUGAGGAACCAUAGGCGCUGAAGAGUUUUCGUGUUUCCAGGUAUGCGAGGUCAGACUGUGGAUGGAGCUGUUUCCUUGGCGAUAGCGCCAGCAUCCACACAGGUUUCCAGUGUCAUUCAGUGGGUUACGUGGAUACCAAGAUACUCAUUGACUCUACAAUGACAGUAUCUUCCUCUUGUUUUCCCCAGGCUCCCUUGAAGAGAAGUGCAGGAUGUCAAGAAGGCUGUGGAUGGAAUCUCUUGCCAAUGUCAGGCAGGGGUUCAGAACUUCCUGUGAGCCUGUGCGCAUUGGUGAUCCAGUUGAAAAUUGCCAGA
rnacentral:lncRNA from 1 species